GACGAACGCUGGCGGCGUGCUUAACACAUGCAAGUCGAACGGUAAGGCCCUUCGGGGUACACGAGUGGCGAACGGGUGAGUAACACGUGGGUGAUCUGCCCUGCACUUCGGGAUAAGCCUGGGAAACUGGGUCUAAUACCGGAUAGGACCCUGGGAUGCAUGUCCUGGGGUGGAAAGCUUUUGCGGUGUGGGAUGGGCCCGCGGCCUAUCAGCUUGUUGGUGGGGUGAUGGCCUACCAAGGCGCCGACGGGUAGCCGGCCUGAGAGGGUGACCGGCCGCACUGGGACUGAGAUACGGCCCAGACUCCUACGGGAGGCAGCAGUGGGGAAUAUUGCACAAUGGGCGCAAGCCUGAUGCAGCGACGCCGCGUGAGGGAUGACGGCCUUCGGGUUGUAAACCUCUUUCAGCACCGACGAAGCGCAAGUGACGGUAGGUGCAGAAGAAGGACCGGCCAACUACGUGCCAGCCGCCGCCGCAG
rnacentral:rRNA from 1 species